rnacentral:rRNA from 1 species
GUCAUGGCUCAGAUUGAACGCUGGCGGCAGGCCUAACACAUGCAAGUCGAACGGUAACAGAAAGCAGCUUGCUGCUUUGCUGACGAGUGGCGGACGGGUGAGUAAUGUCUGGGAAACUGCCCGAUGGAGGGGGAUAACUACUGGAAACGGUAGCUAAUACCGCAUAACGUCGCAAGACCAAAGAGGGGGGACCUUCGGGCCUCUUGCCAUCGGAUGUGCCCAGAUGGGAUUAGCUAGUAGGUGGGG